rnacentral:rRNA from 1 species
CAGGCCUAACACAUGCAAGUCGAGCGCGUAGCAAUACGAGCGGCAGACGGGUGAGUAACACGUGGGAAUCUACCUUUUGCUACGGAACAACUCCGGGAAACUGGAGCUAAUACCGUAUGUGCCCUUUGGGGGAAAGAUUUAUCGGCAAGAGAUGAGCCCGCGUCGGAUUAGCUAGUUGGUGGGGUAAAGGCCUACCAAGGCGACGAUCCGUAGCUGGUCUGAGAGGAUGAUCAGCCACACUGGGACUGAGACACGGCCCAGACUCCUACGGGAGGCAGCAGUGGGGAAUAUUGGACAAUGGGCGCAAGCCUGAUCCAGCCAUGCCGCGUGAGUGAUGAAGGCCCUAGGGUUGUAAAGCUCUUUCACCGGUGAAGAUAAUGACGGUAACCGGAGAAGAAGCCCCGGCUAACUUCGUGCCAGCAGCCGCGGUAAU